rnacentral:tRNA from 1 species
UGGGGAUUAGCCAAGUCGGUAAGAGCAACGCCCUUCUAAGGCAUGUAUGCGUAGGUUCGAGUCCUGCAUCCCCAGCCA